UCCCUGGUAGUAUAUCGGUUAAUACCCCCGCGUUCCUGUAAUGGAUAAGUUUAGGUCCUUUAGGUUUUCGCGCGAAAGCUGGGUUCGACUCCCAGCCAGGGAG